GGAUUAUGCUGUAUAUCAUAUUCAAAAUUUCAAUGAAAGGCUUCAUUCACAUUAAUGUAACUCAAUUGUACGUUGCCUCAUUGUAAUACAUCAGCAUUUCCAAUAAAAAAAGUUUAUUUCUAUCUCCAGAAAACUCUUCUAUUGUAAAUUGUUCAUGAUUCAAUACAACCAUACACAUUACUGCCAAUUCAUAACUAAAAUCAUAAUGUAAUUUUUAGUUUUAUAGUAUUAACUUUAGAUUUAAAUGUGGUAUUUAAUUUAUGUACUAUGUGUAAUAAAAAUUCAACUACUACAUACUUGAUAUUGAAAA